AAAUCGAUAUUGAGGUGAUUGAUUGUGUGGUGAUUGGAAGAAUUUUGAGAUUUGGUUUAAUUGAAUGGGUGAAUCAAUUCCAGACAGGCUGAGAGAAAGAGAGAGGGAAAGAACAAAGAGAGUAAUUCGACAGACUUCUUGGGCGGGGUUAUGAAUUUUGCUCAUUGUAAUUAUGAGAUAACAGCAUUCGAAGCUCUAUGAAAAGGAGGAAGUCAGUGUCAACAAGAGAUUGCAUUGUUGCAGGACAAGUUGGUGAGCUUUUCAUGGGCUUGCGUGAAUAAAAUCGAAAGAGUGGGAAGGAUCAUUUAAUAGUUGAUCAUAACCCAAAAUUCCAAAUAGCAUGUUGAAUGAUUCCAGUCAGAGGCUAAGGAAACAGAAGAUGAACUAUCUGUUUGGAUACGUUUUGGCACACUAACAUCUUCAUGACAGGUGCAACUGAAGUCAAUGCUCUACAUUUUUGGAUGAAGUCCUAAUACGACCGAUCAAAAGGGGAGUUUUUUUUUUUUUUGUGGAAACUCCUCAUCAACCUUUAAUACACAUAAGCAACUCUUUAAUUUGAGUGCUCAUGUAUAGUAGUGUGCUUAUAUAUUAUAGUGUGGUAGUGGUACUAUUUUGUGAGCAUAAUACCAAUGAAGAUGUAACUGAACCCUACUAAUAUGACAUGUACAAUAGUCUCCUUAUGUACAACACUGUGGUAC